CAACUUCAAGAUAUGAUGAGUCGACAUUAUUGCUUUUUUCUGGGGGGGGUGGGGUGGGGUGGGGUAAUCCAUUUACAAACAUCUUCUUUUUCUGUUUCUGGUACAUCCAAUAGAAUUGACAUCCAUAACUCUAAGAAUUUGCCUCUCAUCUACUAAUUUCCUCUUGGAUAAAGCUACUUUUUUUGGUUUCUUUGGUGCAGGUGGACAGCUGAGAUUUUUUGGGAUAAAAAACUUAGGUGAAGUUGGUGUUAGACAUUUAUUUUCUUCACUAGUACUACUACUACUGCAUUUUUCAGAAUUCAUAAACUUCAAAUUCUGAUUCUGUCUCUGUCCAUCAACAGUCUUGAAAAAUGAGUCAACUUCAUCUCUUGCUACGAUCUCGAAAAAUUGCAGCUCGUGAUCUAAUAAUUUCCUUUUACAGGAAGGUAUCCUUUUAGGUUUCUUUGGUGCAGUUGGACAGUUGAGAAUUUUAGGGAGUAAAAACUGAGGUGAUUUUGGUGUGUGACAUUCUUCUUCAUUGCUAAUAGUACUACUGCAUCUUUCUUCUGUAUUACUAGAAUUUUGAGAAGUAGUAAUCUUGAUAUUUGGUAACUGGUUUUCCAAGAAAUCUUGUUGGAAUUCUAGAUCUGUGGACAUAGCUUUUUUGGGCAGAGUUUAGAAUUUUUGAGGAAUUGAAAGAGAGAAAGAGAGAAAAAAGGGAGGUG
rnacentral:lncRNA from 1 species